rnacentral:rRNA from 1 species
GUAAAGAGCUCGUAGGCGGCUUGGUAAGUCGGGUGUGAAACCUCCAGGCUCAACCUGGAGCCGCCACUCGAUACUGCCAUGGCUAGAGUCCGGUAGAGGGUCACGGAAUUCCUGGUGUAGCGGUGAAAUGCGCAGAUAUCAGGAGGAACACCGGUGGCGAAGGCGGUGGCCUGGGCCGGAACUGACGGUGAGGAGCGAAAGCGNGGGGAGCAAACAGGAUUAGAUACCCUGGUAGUCCACGGCGUAAACGUUGGGCACUAGGUGUGGGGCCUAAUCGACGGGUUCCGUGCCGUAGCUAACGGAUUAAGUGCCCCGGCUGGGGGAGUACGGCCGCAAGGUAAAAACUCAAAGGAAUUGACGGGGGCCCGCACAAGCGGCGGAGCAUGUGGCUUAAUUCGAGGCAACCCGAAGAACCUUACCUGGCCUUGACAUGCAGGGAAAAGCCGUAGAGAUACGGUGUCCUUCGGGGCCCUGCACAGGUGGUGCAUGGCUGUCGUCAGCCCGUGCCGUGAGAUGUUGGGUUAAGUCCCGCAACGACCGCAACCCCUGUCCCAUGUUGCCAGCGGGUAAUGCCGGGGACCCGUGGGAGACUGCCGGGGUCAACUCGGAGGAAGGUGGGGAUGCCGUCAAGUCAUCAUGCCCCUUACGUCCAGGGCUGCACACAUGCUACAAUGGCCGGUACAAAGGGCUGCUAUCCCGCGAGGGUGAGCGAAUCCCAAAAAGCCGGUCUCAGUUCGGAUCGCAGUCUGCAACUCGACUCCGUGAAGCCGGAGUCGCUAGUAA